rnacentral:lncRNA from 1 species
UUAUAUUCUCUUAUUUAACUCAAUAAAUUAGUUAUGGAGGUGGAAGAUGCUUCUCACCAACCAUAUCCCUCCUUAAGCAAAGAUUAUUUAGGGAACGUCCUCUAAUUAAUCACUAAUUAACAAGUUGCCAAGGAACGUCCUUGGGCCUUUGGCAUCUAACAACUGUUAAUUGCAUUAAGAAAAAGAGAGACCUAAUUCUAGCUACCCAAACGUAUGGUGAUAUUGCUAGAUUAUGCAAUUUCCUAGGUUUUUACACCAAGGGUUACUUGUGUUUGAAUAAUUCAAGAAAUUACGGACUUCAAACUAUCCAAACUAACAAAGAAUUACUUUGCAAUCAAGAAUCAAGUGGCCAAUUUAAUCAAAACAACAAAGCAACAAUAAAUUAAGCACAAAAUUGCAUAAAUACUGAUUAAUAAAAGAAUAACAUGAAGGUUUAGAUCUCCCAAUCCAUAAACAACCAAAGUUUCACCUUAUUCUUCAACUAGAAAAAGGGUUUCAGCCACUCAUGGCUGAAACUAACAUAAAAGAAAAGAAAGAAAGCAAAAAGAAGGAGAAAAAGGGCCAAUUGGCCUGCUGGUGUGGUGCGGCUGCUGGUGCAGCUUCUGCCGAGGAUGUAUGAUGAUCCAAAGAUGAUUGAUCUGCUGGUUUGCAUGCCCUUUUAUAGCUGAAAAGGCUGCCCUAGGUUUCCUUGUUGAGAUGGGACUCCUUUUCCCAAUUCGAGUUGAAUUCUUGGAAGGUAAUUGUAUUUUGAUGAGAUUUGCCUUCCUAAAUAUGUGAGAAUGAGUGCUGAGGUGUCUUUAGGGUUUGCUGAGCUGUCCACACGUGUCUGGGAGGAAAAACACUUCUUGAGCAUUUGAAUUUUGAUUUUCCCGCAAUUUAC